rnacentral:lncRNA from 1 species
GGCCCACAAGGCCUGCUGAGCCUCGGGCGCGCACAGGCCGGCAGGAGCCAGCCCUGGGGCCCGCGGUCGAGCUGAGUCGCAGCAGGCUCUGUUCCUCCUGUGCGCUGUGGCGCGCCAUCCCAGUCACAGAGCAGACACCCACCUGUGGAGAACCUGGAGCCGGGUCACCUGCAACCAGACUGCGGAGGGCAACUGUGCAGACGGGUGCACGCUGGCAUAGCGGUUGGGAAAGGAUUGCCACCGCUGCCUUCCCUUGCAGAACCUCCACCAGCGCUCACCGAGGGCUGGGGCCCUCUUCCCACAGCUCAGCCGGGUCUAGAGACUGGCGCCAGGCACACAUAGUCCGAGGAAACUGCAGACUCCAGAGGGUGGUUGCAUCCAAAUCGUAUUAG